rfam:Picea glauca, whole genome shotgun sequence.
UAGAGUGAAAAAUAUAUAAGGCAAGGUAGCUCGUUGUCACCACUCUACAUCAUAACGAUGGAUUCCUUAAGUAGACAAUUAGAUCAAGAGAAGAUAGUUGAAAACUUACAGGGAAUUUCAAGGGGAAUCCAACUGUUUAAUUAAAACUAGUAUGAACAAGGAGAAUCUGACUUAAUUAAAACAAAGCAUUGCGAUGGUCCUUGCGGAUGAUGACGCAAUGUGAUUUAUACUCAUUUCUAUGCAUGUCAAAGUGAAUAAAUUCAACCAAGCUUGAGUAAAUGACGAGAGUAACUAUGACUCUCUUAAGGUAUCCAGAUGCCUUGUCAUCUAAUUAGUGAUGCAUAUGAAUGGAUUAAUGAGAUUCCCAUUAUCCCUAGCUAUUGUCUAGAUAAAACACAUCCAAGGGAAUGGCCUUGG